UGGACUGUACUUAGGGCAGGAUCUGGCACCAGGGUUGUUGUCAUGGUGACUGUUCUUGCUCUGUUUCAUCAUCUUCACGGACAUCAUCAGGGCUGGCCUCCCUCCAGGGAGUCUGUCUGUGUGCCUGUCUUCACAGAGGGCUCUGGAAGGGGCUUCACGAGAAGAAAGGAAGAAAUCCUCACCAGGGAGGAAGGUGGAGUUCCCAGAAGUGUAGGGAAGAGGGAGGAGCCCACUGGGCUGUAAGCCCCGAGAGGGCAGGGCCUGUGUCCAUUUCUUCCCUGCUGUAUUCCUAGCAUUGAGGACAGUGCUUGGCAUAGGUUUGGUGCUCAAAGCACAUUUUUUGAAUGAACGAAUGGACUUUUGAGCAAAUCACUGCCUCUCUGGAGUGAGAACCUGCCCUGGGCUUCUGGCUGGAGAUGUCUGGAUGAUGAAUUGUUGACUAGUUGGUGAUGCAGGACUCAGCCUUCAAAUUCCUGUGCCUGGAUUCUGAACAUGGAAAUACAGAGAGGAGGGCCCAGUUAAUAGCAGGGGCUCAGGAAGCAGAAGUGAGAAAUGGGGUGGAGUCGGCCCUAACAAGGGCGAGGCAACCCAGGCACCCUGGAGGAGAGCGGCCUCUCCAGCUCCCAGGCACCCCUGCAUCUCCCCAGCUACCUAAAGUGGUCAGAGGAGAGAGGGAGGGCGCUGUGCCUGAGGACCCCACGUUGGAUCCCAUACAACCUGCAAGGGAGGAACUGGGUCACCGGAACUCCAGAGCUGCUUCCCAAGGGCAUUCUUGAGAAUGUUCCCUAAGGACUAAGCCUUUCUCUCCUUGGGAUGUCACCAGUGCAUAACCUGAGGAAGAUGCCUCGGUCCCAGGACAGAGCAUCACUGUGGCUCCCUCGCAGGUUAGGAAGGGUAACUGAAAUGAAAUGAUCUAUUC